CCCUACGGGGUGCAGCAGGCGAGAAAACUUUGCAAUGUGCGAAAGCACGACAAGGUUAAUCCGAGUGGUUUCUGCUAAAGGAACCUUUUGUCAGUCCUAGAAACACUGAUGAAUAAGGGGUGGGCAAGUUCUGGUGUCAGCCGCCGCGGUAAAACCAGCACCUCAAGUGGUCAGGAUGAUUAUUGGGCCUAAAGCAUCCGUAGCCGGCUCUGUAAGUUUUCGGUUAAAUCUGUACGCUCAACGUACAGGCUGCCGGGAAUACUGCAAAGCUAGGGAGUGGGAGAGGUAGACGGUACUCGGUAGGAAGGGGUAAAAUCCUUUGAUCUAUUGAUGACCACCUGUGGCGAAGGCGGUCUACCAGAACACGUCCGACGGUGAGGGAUGAAAGCUGGGGGAGCAAACCGGAUUAGAUACCCGGGUAGUCCCAGCUGUAAACCAUGCAAACUCAGUGAUGCAUUGGCUUGUGGCCAAUGCAGUGCUGCAGGGAAGCCGUUAAGUUUGCCGCCUGGGAAGUACGUACGCAAGUAUGAAACUUAAAAGGAAUUGGCCGGGGGGAGCACCACAAGGGUGAAGCCUGCGGGUUUCAUUGGAGUCAACGCCAGAAUCCUACCCGAGAGACAGCAGAAUGGAAGUCAGCUGAGACUUUACAGACA
rnacentral:rRNA from 1 species